AAGGUGGCCUGUGAGGGUUGCUGGAGGUAUCAGAAGUGCGAAUGCUGACAUAAGUAACGAUAAAGCGGGUGAAAAGCCCGCUCGCCGGAAGACCAAGGGUUCCUGUCCAACGUUAAUCGGGGCAGGGUGAGUCGACCCCUAAGGCGAGGCCGAAAGGCGUAGUCGAUGGGAAACGGGUUAAUAUUCCCGUACUUGGUGUUACUGCGAAGGGGGGACGGAGAAGGCUAUGUUGGCCGGGCGACGGUUGUCCCGGUUUAAGCGUGUAGGUGUGUGUUCCAGGUAAAUCCGGUUCACUUUAACACUGAGGCGUGAUGACGAGGCACUACGGUGCUGAAGCAACAAAUGCCCUGCUUCCAGGAAAAGCCUCUAAGCAUCAGGUAACAUCAAAUCGUACCCCAAACCGACACAGGUGGUCAGGUAGAGAAUACCAAGGCGCUUGAGAGAACUCGGGUGAAGGAACUAGGCAAAAUGGUGCCGUAACUUCGGGAGAAGGCACGCUGACACGUAGGUGAAGUGAUUUACUCAUGGAGCUGAAGUCAGUCGAAGAUACCAGCUGGCUGCAACUGUUUAUUAAAAACACAGCACUGUGCAAACACGAAAGUGGACGUAUACGGUGUGACGCCUGCCCGGUGCCGGAAGGUUAAUUGAUGGGGUCAGCGCAAGCGAAGCUCCUGAUCGAAGCCCCGGUAAACGGCGGCCGUAACUAUAACGGUCCUAAGGUAGCGAAAUUCCUUGUCGGGUAAGUUCCGACCUGCACGAAUGGCGUAAUGAUGGCCAGGCUGUCUCCACCCGAGACUCAGUGAAAUUGAACUCGCUGUGAAGAUGCAGUGUACCCGCGGCAAGACGGAAAGACCCCGUGAACCUUUACUAUAGCUUGACACUGAACAUUGAGCCUUGAUGUGUAGGAUAGGUGGGAGGCUUUGAAGCGUGGACGCCAGUCUGCGUGGAGCCAACCUUGAAAUACCACCCUUUAAUGUUUGAUGUUCUAACGUGGACCCGUUACCCGGGUUGCGGACAGUGUCUGGUGGGUAGUUUGACUGGGGCGGUCUCCUCCUAAAGAGUAACGGAGGAGCACGAAGGUUGGCUAAUCCUGGUCGGACAUCAGGAGGUUAGUGCAAUGGCAUAAGCCAGCUUGACUGCGAGCGUGACGGCGCGAGCAGGUGCGAAAGCAGGUCAUAGUGAUCCGGUGGUUCUGAAUGGAAGGGCCAUCGCUCAACGGAUAAAAGGUACUCCGGGGAUAACAGGCUGAUACCGCCCAAGAGUUCAUAUCGACGGCGGUGUUUGGCACCUCGAUGUCGGCUCAUCACAUCCUGGGGCUGAAGUAGGUCCCAAGGGUAUGGCUGUUCGCCAUUUAAAGUGGUACGCGAGCUGGGUUUAGAACGUCGUGAGACAGUUCGGUCCCUAUCUGCCGUGGGCGCUGGAGAACUGAGGGGGGCUGCUCCUAGUACGAGAGGACCGGAGUGGACGCAUCACUGGUGUUCGGGUUGUCAUGCCAAUGGCACUGCCCGGUAGCUAAAUGCGGAAGAGAUAAGUGCUGAAAGCAUCUAAGCACGAAACUUGCCCCGAGAUGAGUUCU
rnacentral:rRNA from 1 species